UUGGGCCGCUCCCGCGGCAUAUGGAGGUUCCCAGGCUAGGGAUCCAAUCAGAGCUGUAGCCACUGGCCUGCGCCGGAGCCACAGCAACUCGGGAUCUGAGCUGCAUCUGCGACCUACACCACAGCUCACAGCAAUGCCGCAUCCUUAACCCACUGAGCAAGGCCAGGGAUCGAACCCACAACCUCAUGGUUCCUAGUCGGAUUCAUUAACCACUGAGCCAUGAUGGGAACUCCUCAGAGGACCAUUUAUAAAUGAUGAAUGUGAAUGUAAUAAAAAAGCAGAUAUUUGCUUUAACAUGAGUGAAAAUUGGUACUGAAUCAAGUGAGCAUUUAUUUUGAAUCAGUUCCUAUUCUAGAAGUAAAACGCAUUAAAAUAUGAGUGGUUUCAAAUGCUAUUUCAUAGAGUUUCGGGGAAAUGCUGAGUUUUCUUUCCUAGUCUGUGUUGAGUAAUUCUACCUUUGACACAUAAUAUUGUAUAAAUUAAUGAUUUCGCAUUUGUCGUCUAGAAAGCUCUCUAGAUACCAUCAAAUCAGUUAAUUUCUUAUAUCUCUUACAUACUGCAAAAAAACGAUCCUUAAAAAAAAGCAUAUCCUGCUAUGCUCCACCAGAUUAUCGCUCAUACCAUAUUUACCCACAAAGUCAAAGAAUGCAGUUCCUGUGUCAUUUAUGUUCAUUAUUUUUAUGAGGUGCACAUUAACGGUUAGGCUUGGCAUUUACAAUUAUUAUUAUUGUUGUCUAUACUAGAAGUGAUGGGUGACAUGGUUACCAAAACAGUUUAAAAGUGCGAUAGCUCCCUGAUUUUCCCUGGGAGUCAUAGCAUAGAAAACGGCUUGCACUUCUGAACAGCCCUAUGCCAUGCUAUAGGUAAUGAUUUAAUUCUGAAGUUAUUUUAUUAUGUUUUCAAAUGAAAUGAAAAUACACCUUAUUUCUUUGUAUAUGCCUCAUUUUUAAUUCAUAAUUUAUCCUCCUUAGGUGAUUAUCAUGAUUUAUGUAUCGUUGGCCGGCUUGUAUUAUGUACAUGGGUGCCAUUGUAUAAUGGUGGGAAUUUGAUAUUUCUCCUUAUAAUGGAAUCCCUUUCCUUGUAUACAGUAAAGGAGGCUUCUGUAUUUCAGGAAGCAAAUUAUGAAUACUUAUUUAACAAAUAGAAACAUUUCAUAGAGCAGAUUUUCCCAUUAAAUUCUGUUGCACUUAGAAUUUGAAACUCAGUUGAACUCAGCACAUUAAUAACAUGUAAUAAAUUUGACUGUCUGGUAUGCACCAGGUCCCAUGAGAGGUCAUAGGCAGUAUCUGUACCCUUGAGGAAUGUAUGGCUUAAUAGAUGAGGUUUCUACUACAUUUUGUGUCAUGCAAAGUGAAGUAGAAACUAUAUGUAUAGUAUGUAUAUUGUAUAUAAUUAUUUAUAAAUAUAUAUUAUAUACAUUGCAUAUGUCUUAUUUUAUAAAUAUUAUAAUUAUAACUAUAUUUGAGAAGAAGCAGAGAUGAGGCCAGAUAGAUAAAUAGAAGCUGAAAUACGUUACGUGUUUCUUGUUUAAUAUACAAGGAGAUCUCAGGCCAUUUUAGGUUUCAGACUGAUAGAAUGGUAGGAUAUAGUCUUAGGUUUGAGCCAUUUAAUUGCUACUGCAUACAAGAUGGACUAGAGUGUCUUUGCAAACAGUUCAUGAAUGUUGGACUGGAAAGAACUUGGACUGGAAAGAACUUGGAGUAUAGAUACCAGCUGGGAUACUCUGAGGCAAAUACAGUUCUGGAUAAAAAUAGUGGUGGUUGUUUUUUAAUUAAAAAAAAAUUUUAUGUCAUAUUUCAGAACAGGGUAAUCAGGAUUUUAUAACUCCUUGGAGAUUUGGGACAAAGGCAGGUGGGUGGGUGAGGAGUUGUUUUUUGAAGAUAUCUCUUCUGGCCACUAUAUCUGAGGAUAAUGAUGCUGUUGAUGAAGGAAACACAGGUUUGUGUAGAAACUUAGGGUUUGCUGUUGUCUAUACUGACUUCAGCUGGAAAAGGAAAAUCAGUAUGGAAUGGCACCCAGAAAUUGUAGGGCAAGAGCCCAGUCCAUCGGAAUUAGAAAUACAUGUGUCAAUCUCCAGUGUCCACCGAGAACUGAUAAUUUCAUAAAGCAAGAUUUUAUUGUCUUUGAUUGCCUUUUUUUUUUUUUUUUUUUCCUGCACCUGCGGCAUAUUCCCAGGUCAGGGAUUGACAACUCUGGGUCCUUAACCUGCUGUACCACUGCAAAGAGAACUCCUUUGCUUUCUUAUUUAAGUCUUAGUUUUAUAUAAAUUUAAUAAUAUUUUAUCCUUAUCAUUAGUUUAAAAUAAUAUAGUAUUUUAAAUUUCACAUCAUUUUAAUUUUGUGUGUUAGUUUUGAGAAUGGGAGAGAUAAUUAAGAAACUAGAGAUGGUAAUCUAAUUUGGGAGGGUUUUUUUUUGAAAAUACUUAUCGUUUAUGAACUACCCAAGAAAGUUGCUUGGAAAAGAUCUUAGUAAAAGAGUGGAAAACAAAAUGUAAGAAAUUUCUCAUUCAUUAAACUAAUAGUUGUUGUUUUAACCUAAGUUCUGGGGCUAGGACAUUUGAGUUCUGUUCUCAUGGCUUUUUCGUUUUAGAGGAUAGAGAUGGGGAAAUAUAUACUUAACAAAUAAACAAAUAGAUGAAGAUAAAUUCUACCUAAAGGUAUUUUAAAAGUAUGAUACAAUAGGAGUUGCAAAAGGGAUAUUUAGAAUUUAGGGAACAGGCCUGGUGUAUUUAAGAAAAAACAAAGCAAAGCCAAAAAUGAAGGUGAGUAAUGGAGAUUAACCAAGGUGGUGGGAGGAGAUUAACUGAGCAGGGCUUCUAAACCAUGGCACACACUUUGGGAUUUUAUCUGAAGUUCUCUGAAAAGAUACUGAACAGUUUUAAGUAGGGAUUUGUCCUUACCUAGUUUAAUAUAUCUUAAACAUGACUCUGGCUGCCAUGUAGGAGCGGAUGGGGACUGAAGGGCACAGGAGAGAAACGAAUCAGGGAGACCAUUUAAGAUGCUGUUGAAUUAUUAUCAUAUCUGAAAGAAAAUUCUGAUCAGUACAUAUUGAAUGAAUGAAUGGCCUUUUGCUUCUGAUAUCUCAAACAGAGAGUAGUUCUUGAACAGGAAAUAAAGUUUCAAAACACCUGAUGAAAUUUGCCUGUCCUCCUCUGAGAAUUCUGUUGUAUCCAAUUUUUGUGACAAGUUUCUUAUUCUCAUGUUGCCUUCAUUUCACCACAAUAUUUACCUUACAGUGGUGAUUAUAUAAUAAUAAUAAUAACAACAACAACAAUAAUAACAAUAAUAAUAAGCAAGUUACUAUUGUACUGGUUUGCAUUUAUUUAUCAAGCAGGGACUGCGGUCAUUGUAUUAUAUGCGUUAUCUCAUAUAAUUUUCCCAAACGGCCCCAUUUGUUAGAUAACAUAAAUGUCCCCUUUUACAUAUAAGGAAACCAAGGUAUAAACUCAGCAGAAUGGUUCCUCUGAUUUCUAUUUAGGAAAAGCCCCACAAAUCAGUAUCAGAAAGCCACUUAGGAUGCCUCUUCAUUUGAAGCUAAGGCAGACACGGGUGGAAACUGCCUGAUUAUCUGGGGCUAAACUCUGAGCUGGAUGCCCAGCCCAGGGCAGUGUCCCAGCUCAGAGGGUGCAGCCUCCCAACUCCUCUUGUGGUGCUGCCCUCUGCUGAGAGCCCCAGGGGCUUGAGGUCCUGAGAAGGAAAGGAGGCAGAUAGUAUCCUGCCUUUGCCUUGGAAGGUGCCUGGUCCUCCUGCCCCCGCCCCAUUUCUGCAGCUCCUCAUGGUGCUCAGGCCCAGGAGGACAAAAUUCUUCAGUUACUUCUGGCACUUUUUUUUUUUUUCUGUGUUGUCUUUCCCAUUUCCUCAUCAGGAGAAAUAUUUGGAAAAAACUCAUACAGGUCUGAUCCCAAUGUUUCUUCAAAGAAACAUUUUUUUUUUCUCCCUUUCCAUUUGUCUCAGUCAAAAUGUCUGGCCUAAAGGCAAACGAAUUAUUCAAUUUAAAUAAUAAUUUGUAAUAAGAAACAAAGAAUUUCAAGUGUAAAUUAUUCAGCUCUACCCUGUUCUAAUCUGUGUUGGAAAAUCUCAUACUAUUUGAAACCUCUUCAAAGAUAAUUGCUGGCUUUUUGGCUUCUUUUGUUUUACCACAGUAUUAACAUAUAAAUCAGAGGGAAAGCACAUUUUGUGUUUACCUUAUGUAGUAGAAUCAAAAUUUAACUUGGGUGGGGAAAAUUAAUAUUCCUUAUUUUAUGUAGUUAAUCAUGCUUCUCCAAGUUUGAGAAAAAUUCCAACAUACCCCUUAAUUACAAAUGGACUUGUCACAUAGAAUAUAGGAUACACAGUUAAAUUUGAAUUUCAGAUAAACAACGGAUAUUUUUUGUGUAUAAGUAAGUCCUAGGCAAUGUUUGUAUUUUUAUUUGCUAAAUUUGACAGUCUUAAUUAUAAAAGAAUUUUGUUAAAAGCGCAAAUAACCAAAAAAGGUUUUUUUCUUUUUUUCUUCUUUUUUUUGUCUUUUUGCUAUUUCUUGGGCUGUUCCUGUGACAUAUGGAGAUUCCCAGGCUGGGGUCAAAUUGGAGCUAUAGCCGCUGGCCUAUAUCAGAGCCACAGCAACGCGGGAUCCGAGCUGCGUCUGCAACCCACACAACAGCCCACGGCAACGCCAGAUCCCUAACCCACUGAGCAAGGCCAGGAACCAAACCCGCAACCUCAUGGUUCCCAGUCGGAUUCAUUAACCAUUGAGCCAUGACAGGAACUCCCAAAAAAGUGUUAAAAUGUCUCAAGUUAGUUUACAUAAUCCUAAUAAUGAACGAUUAGGUAAUGAAGGUCUCUGAUAUAUUCAGUAGGUAGAAUGAUUCCUGACAUAGUCCCCACCUUUGGUCCCUCUUAACACAGGUUCACCUGAGUUCUUGCCACCACUGAAGGUAUUCGAAUAUCACUCUGUUUUGUAUGUGGCCUGUCUUGAGCCUACUAUGGUAAAUCUCUGCUCUGGGGUCAAUCAACUAGACCCUCACUGAGGUCUGUGUGGCAGACCCUCUCAUGCUCUUGCUGGGUAACAUGCAGCUGUUUGGGGGUCCCUUCCAUGUCACAAGCUUACUGAGGGAAAGAAACUUAAGACCUCUGUUUCAUGUUCUUUCUUGACCUUAAUAGUGGCUGGAAAUAUUUCAAUUGCUUUGGACUUAGAGUUUACUGUGGAGCCCUCUGCGGGGGGCCCUCUCCUGGAAUUACAGGUGGAAGCAGGAUAUGCACCUAUUCCUCUUGCUUUUAGCUCCCAUUCACCUUUUUUGAGGUUUUCUGUCACCAUUGCUCUUGAAGUUCACACCUAGUGGAGUUUUGGGGGAAACAAGACUGCCAAUUUCUCCAAUCCUGCCCAUAUUUUUUUUCACUGUUUUCUUUCUUCCUGCCAGAGCAGAGGAUACUUUCCUGUCUGUAGUAAUAGCCUUUAUAUUUUAGCCUCCCUGUCCUCCAACAGUGGCUUAAUGCUUUCUCUUGAAUAUCAACUGGACUUUUAAAAUUGAGGAAUAUUUUUUCUUUCUCAAUAUACCUAGACUUUUAAGACUCAGUAAAAGUUCAAAAAAGCCAGUUUUCAGACUCAGUGAACCCUUAUUUCAGGGAGAAUCAUCCUUUCUCUUGAAUGAAGGAAAACCAUUAAAAACUUCAUUAUAGUAGGAUUUUUCAGAAAGUGAAAAUAUACUGCAAAAUUAUUUUGUGAAUCCUCCAUAAUAAAGCCUUUAUCAUUUGAGUUCAUGUUGAGGGGAGUUCAGGGGCUCUUCUUUCCUCUAUAUCAUGUCAGUACGUGGGCAUCCAUCCUCCUCACUCUCCUUUGUUUCUUCUUUGGAGACUAUGUAAUUGUAUGUAUGCUUCCCUAUUGGAGAAGAAGAAAAUCGUUUGAAAGGUAAAACAACCUGAUGCUGAAUUUUGAGAUAUAAAGCAAAUUCAGGCUGCUUUUAUUCUAAUAUAAAUGAGAAACAUUCAUUUUCUUUAGACUCACUCAGAAAAUAUGUGCUUAGAUCUUAAAACUAAANNNNNNNNNNNNNNCCUACAAGGAAUUUGAGUUUGACUCUUGAUAUGGUUCAUAUAAGAUUUAAUAUAUUUCAAAAGCCUAUCCAUUAGAAAAUGUAUUGAAACUUUUUAAUGCCACUUUUCAUUUCAAACCAAUAUAUGUUGUAACUCCCUUUGAAACUGCCUUUGCUUUCUUUGGCAAGAAAAUCUUUGGUCAAAGCAUAACUAAAAUAGUUCCAAAGGUUUCCCAUUGCAAUAUUUUCCAGUCAGUGUAUCCACAGCUAGAAUAACUUUUGUGAAAAACAAAAAUUAAUGUGGUCUUACAAUUCUAGUCAAUAGCAAAACUAAAACAAUCUCUUCAGAAAUACUAUAGCCAAUGAUAUUAUAUGUAAGUUAAAACAAACCAGAUCAAAGCUUGUGACAAAAUGUAAUGCAUUAUUAUACACCAUUGUAUCCCAGAUAUUUGAAAAAAUGUCUAUCAGGGUAAAAUUUAAAUAUUAUCAAAGUCCCCAAAUAAAUCCUGAACCAGGUAGGUGUUUUACUUUUGAGUUCUAGGUGGGUACAUUGUAUUGAUUUUUACAUAUUAAGAAAAUGUCACAUCACUACUGAAGUAAUAAUGUGCUUAAUAGCAGUUGUAACCUCAGUAUUUUAAUCUACUUUAGUACAACACAAAAGGUAUUUGUAUAACAUUUAUCGCCAUUUUAGAAAAAAAGGAGUAGACUGUGGUUAAGUAGAAAAUAAUAUUGGAAUCUUAUUUUCACUGGGGAAGUUGGGGAAACAGAAAUAUUGAUCUUAUGAAAACUCUGUAGUUUAUAAGGCAUAGAGUAAAACUAAGCAUUAAGGUUAGGCUCUGUGGAAGUGCACUCAUAUUGAUUAUAAAUACUUACUUUGUAUCUCAUGAUUUGCCCAUAAUGAGAUAGUAAAAAAUAAAUACUAUACUUUGAAAUUGGAAGUAUAGAACGUAGAAAAAACACACAGCAAAACAAAAACAAAAACAAAAA
ensembl:lncRNA